rnacentral:rRNA from 1 species
GGUCAAGUUAUUAAGGGUGCAGGGCGGAUGCCUUGGCACUAGGAGCCGAUGAAGGACGUGAUAAGCUGCGAUAAGCUUCGGGGAGUUGCACGUAAACUUUGAUCCGAAGAUUUCCGAAUGAGGAAACUCACUUAGAGUAAUGUCUAAGUAUCAUUAAGUGAAUACAUAGCUUAAUGAGGGGAACUCAGGGAACUGAAACAUCUAAGUACCUGAAGGAAGAGAAAGAAAUUCGAUUCCGUAAGUAGCGGCGAGCGAACGCGGAUUAGCCC